CUCCUGCCGGCGACCGGCGCACGGGUGAGUAACACGUAUGCAACCUGCCCCUGUCAGGGGGACAACCCGCCGAAAGGCGGGCUAAACCCGCGUACAUGCCACCGGGGCAUCCCGGAGGCAGGAAAGGCUUCGGCCGGACAGGGAUGGGCAUGCGGCGCAUUAGGCAGUAGGCGGGGUAACGGCCCACCUAACCGACGAUGCGUAGGGGUUCUGAGAGGAAGGUCCCCCACACUGGUACUGAGACACGGACCAGACUCCUACGGGAGGCAGCAG
rnacentral:rRNA from 1 species